AUGGCUUCCAACUACGUGGACACCACGGGGGAGGAGGGAAGGUUCCACACCCACGGCCACCACAGCAACAGCACGACGCCGACCGGCGAGGCCGCGUCGCCGAAGAAUACACGGAGGAGGUGGCCCGGGUCGGCGUCGGCGCCGUCCGGCGCAGGCCACGGGCCUGCUUCCAAGUGCGUCUGCGCGCCGGCCACCCAUGCCGGGUCCUUCAAGUGCCGUUUCCACCGCACCAACUCCCAGGGCCACGGCCACGGCCAGGGAAGCCGUCCUUCUUCGCCUCCUUCACCGGUCGCGGCCAAUGCGGUGCCGCGGCACCCGGUCUCGCCGUCCUCGUCCUCCGGCACCGUCGCGACCCAGUGA
rnacentral:rRNA from 1 species